AUUGAACGCUGGCGGCAUGCUUUACACAUGCAAGUCGAACGGUAACAGGCCUUCGGGUGCUGACGAGUGGCGAACGGGAGAGGAAUGCAACGGAACGUGCCCAGUGGCGGGGGAUAACGCAGCGAAAGCUGUGCUAAUACCUCAUGCGACAUGAGGAUGAAAGCGGGGGACCAGGCAGCAAUGUUUGGCCUCGCGCCUAUGGAGCGGCCGAUGUCAGAUUAGGUAGUUGGUGGGGUAAAGGCCGACCAAGCCGACGAUCGGUAGCUGGUCUGAGAGGACGACCGGCCACACUGGGACUGAGGCACGGCCCAGACUCCUACGGGAGGCAGCAGUGGGGAAUUUUGGACAAUGGGCGCAAGCCUGAUCCAGCAAUGCCGCGUGCGGGAAGAAGUCCUUCGGGUUGUAAACCGCUUUUGUACGGAACGAAGAGGCUCUGGCUAAUACCUGGGGCUGAUGACGGUACCGUAAGAAUAAGCACCGGCUAACUACGUG
rnacentral:rRNA from 1 species